rnacentral:tRNA from 2 species
GCCGAUAUAGCUCAGUGGUAGAGCAGCGCUUUUGUAAAGCGAAGGUCGUCGGUCCAAAUCCGACUAUCGGCUCCA